GGAGAGGUGACCGAGUGGCCGAAGGUGCACGACUGGAAAUCGUGUGUAGCGAAAGUUACCGGGGGUUCGACUCCCCCCCUCUCCG
rnacentral:tRNA from 1 species